GAAAAGAAAAGUAAAGGACUAAAUUGUAAAGUUUAGUCACAUUUUGUAUCGAGUACUUAUCUAGUCACUCGGGGAUCGAAGGAAAUGUCGGAGGCCGAUCACACUAUCAAAGAAAUAACUCGGUAUAAUUAGACGUUUUGUUUUGUGUAUGGCAUGUAUAGAAACUUAGCCACUUUUGGUAUAAUAUGAACAAUGAAUGAUGUGUAAAUACUUGCUAGUGAUUAGCUAAUAAAAAUGGCCGAUGAUAUGCAUAUUUAUUAA